UGCUUAACACAUGCAAGUGGAGCGACGAACCUUUUUGGGGCAAAGCCGCGAACGGGUGAGUAACACGUGGGUAAUCUACCCCGAAGACUGGAAUAACCCGAGGAAACUCGGGCUAAUACCGGAUGUGCUCCCUCUCCAUCAGGAGAGUGAGUAAAGGUAGCUUCGGCUAUCCGCUUUGGGAGGGGCCCGCGGUCCAUUAGCUUGUUGGUGAGGUGACGGCUUACCAAGGCUACGAUGGAUAGCUGGUCUGAGAGGACGAUCAGCCACACUGGAACUGAGACACGGUCCAGACUCCUACGGGAGGCAGCAGUGGGGAAUCUUGCACAAUGGGCGACAGCCUGAUGCAGCAAUGCCGCGUGAGGGAAGACGGCCUUCGGGUUGUAAACCGC
rnacentral:rRNA from 1 species